GGGCCCGGCUCGCUGGGCCCGGGCGGCGGCACCGCGCCCAGCACCGCUCAGCGCCACUCCUCAGCGUGGAAUACGAAACCUUUGACAGUAACGAAACCUUUUACAGUAACCGAUGGCUAUGGCAUGUGUGACUGCCCACAACAUUUUGAUCAGAUUUGGCCUUUGGAAACAGCCUCUUUGGGAGUAACUCCAGGAAAUAAGACUCUUCUGUGGAAGCUCCCUGAGGUGGCUCCCAGGCGCUGUGGUAGCAGCAACAACACUAAUAGGAGCAGAUGGAACACUGCACUAGUGGGUUCUCUGAUGACCAGAUACAUUUUUGCUAGGGGUUUCAUGAUUAAGUGGGCAGAAACAGAUAUUUCUGAAAAUCUCUACGAGACGUUUUGAACGCCCAGAGUAGAUUGCUCCAGUUAGCAAAUAGGGGAGUCUACGUGUCUCAAUACCUUCAUCACUGUUAAAAAACAGCUUUCUGCAGAGUUCUGCAAAGUUUCUAAUCUCCAGCUCUGAACAGCUUUGGAAAGCAUCCCUACAGAGACACAGAUUCACAGGUCCUCAAGAUGCACAGUUCCCUCAAUGUCUUCAAACUGAUGUUGAUUUUUCAGAAAACAUAUUUCUUUGACUUUUCAGAAAAAAUCUAUCUCCAGAAAAAAAGCCAGAGAUACAGAUGCUUACUUUUCCUCACUAGCAGAUUGUCAUUCCUUUUUAGCUAGCCAUAUAUUUAUAGAAGGAGAGAUUACAGGGGCUUUUUUAUCAAAACCAGAAAGUAUGAGUAUUAUUCCUUGUCACUUCCUAGAAAUGAGUUUCUGUGGAUGGCUAAAUGGUUAGUAAUACUGUGUUGAUUUUCAGUGCAGAAUUAUGUGGCUUGUAUAUGCAAGUGAAUUACUUUUCAGGCUAUCAUGUGAUUCAAAUAUUUCUCUUUGAAAAGAGCAGCUACACCUGCCUGCUCCUCUCUUCAACCCAUUCCCAAUAUACCUGUUCAAGAUUACAUGGAAGUAUUUUGAAAAGAAUUGAGCUCUGUGGGUUUUAUAGAACAGUAACUCUAUAGAUAUUAACACAGGUGCUCUUGUUUGAUACUGGAAGUGGAAAAUCAGGGCAAAGAACAAACAAAAUUCUGGAACAGCUAUGUCUGAAAUAAGAAACCUGUAAUUUUUUUUUUCUCUAUUUAAGCUUAUACGAGUCACCUGCAGUUCUCAAGCUUUCUGAUACAAAGUGAAAAUUGAGAUUUCUGAUAUACCUGGUGAUAACCUAGGCAGUGAAAUGUCUGGAUGUCAAAUAUGUAGUGGCUUGAUUGUCAAUAAUUGAGUAUAUAUCCACCUUCUUAAACUUGUACUUUUACAGCUUAUAAAUACUAAAGACUUACAGUCUCUUUUUAAGUUCUCAUGCAUUUAUCUAUUCCUCAGCAUCUCUGCCUGAAAAACAG